UGUCAGCAGCCGCGGUAACACGUAGGGGGCGAGCGUUGUUCGGAAUUACUGGGCGUAAAGGGCAUGUAGGCGGUUCUGUAAGCCUGACGUGAAAGGCUAUGGCUCAACCAUGGCACUGCGUUGGGAACUGCGGGACUUGAAUCACGGAGAGGGAGCUGGAAUUCCAGGUGUAGGGGUGAAAUCUGUAGAUAUCUGGAAGAACACCAGUGGCGAAGGCGAGCUCCUGGCCGAUGAUUGACGCUGAGGUGCGAAAGUGUGGGGAUCAAACAGGAUUAGAGACCCUGGUAGUCCACACCAUCAACGAUGUGCACUAGGUGCUGGGGCGGACGCUUCAGUGCCGGAGCUAACGCGGUAAGUGCACCGCCUGGGGAGUAUGCUCGCAAGGGUGAAACUCAAAGAAAUUGACGG
rnacentral:rRNA from 1 species